rnacentral:misc_RNA from 1 species
UCCUGGUUAACCCAGGCAGUCUCGCUAGAGUUCCCACCUAAUAGUGUUGGCAACUAACGAUAAGGGUUGCGCUCGUUGCGGGACUUAACCCAACACCUCACGGCACGAGCUGACGACAGCCAUGCAGCACCUGUGCAGCGGCCCCGAAGGGAAUAACUAUUUCUAGUUACGUCCACUGCAUGUCAAGCCUGGGUAAGGUUCUUCGCGUUGCAUCGAAUUAAACCACAUGCUCCACUGCUUGUGCGGGUCCCCGUCAAUUCUUUUGAGUUUCACCCUUGCGAGCGUACUCCCCAGGCGGUAUACUUAUCGCGUUAGCUUCGGCACAACCGGGGUUGAGUCCAGUUACACCAAGUAUACAUCGUUUACGGCAAGGACUAC